UACAGAGGGUGCGAGCGUUAAUCGGAAUUACUGGGCGUAAAGCGUGCGCAGGCGGUUUUGUAAGACAGGCGUGAAAUCCCCGAGCUUAACUUGGGAAUGGCGCUUGUGACUGCAAGGCUAGAGUAUGUCAGAGGGGGGUAGAAUUCCACGUGUAGCAGUGAAAUGCGUAGAGAUGUGGAGGAAUACCGAUGGCGAAGGCAGCCCCCUGGGACGUCACUGACGCUCAUGCACGAAAGCGUGGGGAGCAAACAGG
rnacentral:rRNA from 1 species